GACGAACCGUGCGAACGUUGUUCGGAAUCACUGGGCUUAAAGGGCGCGUAGGCGGUCAAUCCAGCGGGGGUGAAAUCUUGCAGCUUAACUGUAAAAGUGCCUUCGAUACUGAUUGACUCGAGGGAGGUAGGGGCAGGUGGAACUUCCAGUGGAGCGGUGAAAUGUGUUGAUAUUGGAAGGAACGCCGGUGGCGAAAGCGAACCUGCUGGAUCUCUUCUGACGCUGAGGCGCGAAAGCUAGGGGAGCAAACGGG
rnacentral:rRNA from 1 species